rnacentral:rRNA from 1 species
GGGUUGUGAGGUUAAGCGACUAAGCGUACACGGUGGAUGCCCUGGCAGUCAGAGGCGAUGAAGGGCGUGCUAAUCUGCGAUAAGCGCCGGUAAGGUGAUAUGAACCGUUAUAACCGGCGAUACCCGAAUGGGGAAACCCAGUGUGAUUCGUCACACUAUCAUUAACUGAAUCCAUAGGUUAAUGAGGCGAACCGGGGGAACUGAAACAUCUAAGUACCCCGAGGAAAAGAAAUCAACCGAGAUUCCCCCAGUAGCGGCGAGCGAACGGGGAGGAGCCCAGAGCCUGAAUCAGCAUGUGUGUUAGUGGAAGCGUCUGGAAAGGCGCGCGAUACAGGGUGACAGCCCCGUACACAAAAGCGCAUGUGCUGUGAGCUCGAUGAGUAGGGCGGGACACGUGGUAUCCUGUCUGAAUAUGGGGGGACCAUCCUCCAAGGCUAAAUACUCCUGACUGACCGAUAGUGAACCAGUACCGUGAGGGAAAGGCGAAAAGAACCCCGGCGAGGGGAGUGAAAAAGAACCUGAAACCGUGUACGUACAAGCAGUGGGAGCACCCUUUUGGGUGUGACUGCGUACCUUUUGUAUAAUGGGUCAGCGACUUAUAUUCUGUAGCAAGGUUAACCGUAUAGGGGAGCCGGAGGGAAACCGAGUCUUAAUUGGGCGUUAAGUUGCAGGGUAUAGACCCGAAACCCGGUGAUCUAGCCAUGGGCAGGUUGAAGGUUGGGUAACACUAACUGGAGGACCGAACCGACUAAUGUUGAAAAAUUAGCGGAUGACCUGUGGCUGGGGGUGAAAGGCCAAUCAAACCGGGAGAUAGCUGGUUCUCCCCGAAAGCUAUUUAGGUAGCGCCUCGUGAAUUCAUCUCCGGGGGUAGAGCACUGUUUCGGCUAGGGGGCCAUCCCGGCUUACCAACCCGAUGCAAACUGCGAAUACCGGAGAAUGUUAUCACGGGAGACACACGGCGGGUGCUAACGUCCGUCGUGAAGAGGGAAACAACCCAGACCGCCAGCUAAGGUCCCAAAGUCAUGGUUAAGUGGGAAACGAUGUGGGAAGGCCAGACAGCCAGGAUGUUGGCUUAGAAGCAGCCAUCAUUUAAAGAAAGCGUAAUAGCUCACUGGUCGAGUCGGCCUGCGCGGAAGAUGUAACGGGGCUAAACCAUGCACCGAAGCUGCGGCAGCGACGUUUAUGCGUUGUUGGGUAGGGGAGCGUUCUGUAAGCCUGUGAAGGUGGUGUGAGGUUGCUGGAGGUAUCAGAAGUGCGAAUGCUGACAUAAGUAACGAUAAAGCGGGUGAAAAGCCCGCUCGCCGGAAGACCAAGGGUUCCUGUCCAACGUUAAUCGGGGCAGGGUGAGUCGACCCCUAAGGCGAGGCCGAAAGGCGUAGUCGAUGGGAAACGGGUUAAUAUUCCCGUACUUGGUGUUACUGCGAAGGGGGGACGGAGAAGGCUAUGUUGGCCGGGCGACGGUUGUCCCGGUUUAAGCGUGUAGGCUGGUUUUCCAGGCAAAUCCGGAAAUCAAGGCUGAGGCGUGACGACGAGGCACUACGGUGCUGAAGCAACAAAUGCCCUGCUUCCAGGAAAAGCCUCUAAGCAUCAGGUAACAUCAAAUCGUACCCCAAACCGACACAGGUGGUCAGGUAGAGAAUACCAAGGCGCUUGAGAGAACUCGGGUGAAGGAACUAGGCAAAAUGGUGCCGUAACUUCGGGAGAAGGCACGCUGACACGUAGGUGAAGUGAUUUACUCAUGGAGCUGAAGUCAGUCGAAGAUACCAGCUGGCUGCAACUGUUUAUUAAAAACACAGCACUGUGCAAACACGAAAGUGGACGUAUACGGUGUGACGCCUGCCCGGUGCCGGAAGGUUAAUUGAUGGGGUCAGCGCAAGCGAAGCUCCUGAUCGAAGCCCCGGUAAACGGCGGCCGUAACUAUAACGGUCCUAAGGUAGCGAAAUUCCUUGUCGGGUAAGUUCCGACCUGCACGAAUGGCGUAAUGAUGGCCAGGCUGUCUCCACCCGAGACUCAGUGAAAUUGAACUCGCUGUGAAGAUGCAGUGUACCCGCGGCAAGACGGAAAGACCCCGUGAACCUUUACUAUAGCUUGACACUGAACAUUGAGCCUUGAUGUGUAGGAUAGGUGGGAGGCUUUGAAGUGUGGACGCCAGUCUGCGUGGAGCCGACCUUGAAAUACCACCCUUUAAUGUUUGAUGUUCUAACGUGGACCCGUAAUCCGGGUUGCGGACAGUGUCUGGUGGGUAGUUUGACUGGGGCGGUCUCCUCCUAAAGAGUAACGGAGGAGCACGAAGGUUGGCUAAUCCUGGUCGGACAUCAGGAGGUUAGUGCAAUGGCAUAAGCCAGCUUGACUGCGAGCGUGACGGCGCGAGCAGGUGCGAAAGCAGGUCAUAGUGAUCCGGUGGUUCUGAAUGGAAGGGCCAUCGCUCAACGGAUAAAAGGUACUCCGGGGAUAACAGGCUGAUACCGCCCAAGAGUUCAUAUCGACGGCGGUGUUUGGCACCUCGAUGUCGGCUCAUCACAUCCUGGGGCUGAAGUAGGUCCCAAGGGUAUGGCUGUUCGCCAUUUAAAGUGGUACGCGAGCUGGGUUUAGAACGUCGUGAGACAGUUCGGUCCCUAUCUGCCGUGGGCGCUGGAGAACUGAGGGGGGCUGCUCCUAGUACGAGAGGACCGGAGUGGACGCAUCACUGGUGUUCGGGUUGUCAUGCCAAUGGCACUGCCCGGUAGCUAAAUGCGGAAGAGAUAAGUGCUGAAAGCAUCUAAGCACGAAACUUGCCCCGAGAUGAGUUCUCCCUGAGACUUAGGUCUCCUGAAGGAACGUUGAAGACGACGACGUUGAUAGGCCGGGUGUGUAAGCGCAGCGAUGCGUUGAGCUAACCGGUACUAAUGAACCGUGAGGCUUAACCUUACAACGCCGAAG